rnacentral:rRNA from 1 species
GAUGAACGCUGGCGGCGUGCCUAAUACAUGCAAGUCGAGCGAACAGACGAGGAGCUUGCUCCUCUGACGUUAGCGGCGGACGGGUGAGUAACACGUGGAUAACCUACCUAUAAGACUGGGAUAACUUCGGGAAACCGGAGCUAAUACCGGAUAAUAUAUUGAACCGCAUGGUUCAAUAGUGAAAGACGGUUUUGCUGUCACUUAUAGAUGGAUCCGCGCCGCAUUAGCUAGUUGGUAAGGUAACGGCUUACCAAGGCAACGAUGCGUAGCCGACCUGAGAGGGUGAUCGGCCACACUGGACCUGAGACACGGUCCAGACUCAUACGGGAGGCAGCAGUAGGGAAUCUUCCGCAAUGGGCGAAAGCCUGACGGAGCAACGCCGCGUGAGUGAUGAAGGUCUUCGGAUCGUAAAACUCUGUUAUUAGGGAAGAACAAAUGUGUAAGUAACUAUGCACGUCUUGACGGUACCUACUCAGAAAGCCACGGCUAAGUACGUG